GAUGAACGCUGGCGGCGUGCCUAAUACAUGCAAGUCGAGCGAGAAUCAGUUGAUCAGAGAUUCGUCAAAGAGAAACUGAGGAAAGCGGCGGACGGGUGAGUAACGCGUAGGCAACCUGCCCUUAGCAGAGGGAUAGCCAUUGGAAACGAUGAUUAAAACCUCAUAAUGCUGUUUGAGCACAUGCUCAGACAGCCAAAGAUUUAUCGGCUAAGGAUGGGCCUGCGUCUGAUUAACUAGUUGGUGAGGUAACGGCUCACCAAGGUGACGAUCAGUAGCCGACCUGAGAGGGUGAUCGGCCACAUUGGAACUGAGACACGGUCCAAACUUC
rnacentral:rRNA from 1 species